UACGUAGGGUGCAAGCGUUAUCCGGAAUUAUUGGGCGUAAAGAGCUCGUAGGCGGUUUGUCGCGUCUGCCGUGAAAGUCCGGGGACUCGAACUCCAGGAUCUGCGGUGGGUACGGGGCAGACUAGAGUGAUGUAGGGGAGACUGGAAUUCCUGGUGUAGCGGUGAAAUGCGCAGAUAUCAGGAGGAACACCGAUGGCGAAGGCAGGUCUCUGGGCAUUAACUGACGCUGAGGAGCGAAAGCGUGGGGAGCAAACAGG
rnacentral:rRNA from 1 species